GAUGAACGCUGGCGGCGUGCUUAACACAUGCAAGUCGAACGAAGCACUUUAUUUGAUUUCUUCGGAAUGAAGAUUUUGUGACUGAGUGGCGGACGGGUGAGUAACGCGUGGGUAACCUGCCUCAUACAGGGGGAUAACAGUUGGAAACGACUGCUAAUACCGCAUAAGCGCACAGUAUCGCAUGAUGCAGUGCGAAAAACUCCGGUGGUAUGAGAUGGACCCGCGUCUGAUUAGCCAGUUGGUGGGGUAACGGCCUACCAAAGCGACGAUCAGUAGCCGACCUGAGAGGGUGACCGGCCACAUUGGGACUGAGACACGGCCCAAACUCCUACGGGAGGCAGCAGUGGGGAAUAUUGCACAAUGGGGGAAACCCUGAUGCAGCGACGCCGCGUGAGCGAAGAAGUAUUUCGGUAUGUAAAGCUCUAUCAGCAGGGAAGAAGAAAUGACGGUACCUGACUAAGAAGCACCGGCUAAAUACGUGCCAGCCGCCGCCGUAAUAC
rnacentral:rRNA from 1 species